rnacentral:rRNA from 1 species
ACUACUGUAGUAGGGGAUAAAGGUCCGACGUUACGUCGGACUUGAUAGUACCCUGCUAGAAAGGGGCCGCUAACUGCGUGCCAGAAGCGUCGGUAAUACGUGGGCCCCGAACAUUAUCCGGUUUUAUUGGGUGUAAAAAGUAGUGUAGGUGUCCUGUUAAGUUUUGCUUUAAAUACUGUAGCUUAACUAUAGGAAAGGGUAAAAUACUGACAGGAUUGAGUUAUCUUUAGGGAGAUUGGAACUCAAGGAGGAGUAGUGAAAUGCGUUGAUACCUUGGGGAACACCAGUGGCGAAGGCGAAUCUCUGAAAGAUAACUGACACUGAGACACGAAAGCUAGGGGAGCGAAGCAGAUUAGAGACCUGCGUAGUCCUAGCCUUAAACCAUGCUUGCUAGCCGCAUUUUUUCACCUUCGGGUGAAGGAGUGUAGCGAAGGUAACCCGUUAAGCAAGCUACCUGGGGAGUACGACCGCAAGGUUAAAACUCAAAGGAAUUGGCGGGGAGGCACACAACCAGUGGAACAUGUGGUUCAAUUCGAUACGAACCGAAAAACCUCACCAGGGUUUGACAUACUACCGUUUAUUCCGCUAGAAAUAGUGGGAAAUCCGCAAGGAUGGUAGCACAGGUGCUGCAUGGCUGUCGUCAGCUCGUUCCGUGAGGAGUGCCCUUAAGUGAGACAACGAGCGCAACCCCUAUCUUGUGUUAAAUCUGUCACAAGACACGGUCCCGACUUAGUCGGGAAGGAAGGAGGGGCAGACGUCAAGUCAGCAUGGCCCUUAUACCCUGGGCCACACACAUGUUACAAUGGGAUGAGCAACGGGCUUUGCCAAACGGUAACGUUGAGCAAAUCCCUCAAACCAUCCCUCAGUGGGGAUUGAGGUCUGCAACUCGACCUCAUGAACGCGGAAUUGGUAGUAAUCGCGGAUCAGUCAUGCCGCGGUGAAUACGUUCUUGCCUCUUGCACACACCGCCCGUCAAGCCAACAAAGUCGGGGAUAUUUGAAUCUUACCUAUGGUAGGAGAGAAUAUCAUCGGCGAUGGGGGUUAAGUCGUAACAAGGUAACCGUUUUGGAAGAAGCGGUUG